rnacentral:lncRNA from 1 species
UUCCUUUGAACAAAAAUCUAACAAAGGCUCAUUAUUGUCAAUAAUUUUUUGUUUGAAACGUACCUUCGUCUGUGUUUUCUUGUUCUACAAAGAGAACACUUCGGAGCGAUUUUCACAGAAUCAUCCUGUAAAUUAUGAGUUACAGCUUCAUCUUGCUUUUCUUCAGCUUCACUUUGCUCUUUCCCUCUGUAUAUGUUAUUAAAUUUUUUUUUCAACAUUUACCCCCGUUUGGCCCCUAUUCUCUUUCUUUUUUUCCCUCUCUCUCUUAUUUUUAACCACACAAUCUUUCAUAAAAUAAUAUUAAAUAUAAAUAGAAAAAUUUUCAUUCUUUUUCAACUUCACAUUCUUCAAAAAAAAAAAAAAAAACCUAUUCCAACCAUUAAAAUUUGAAAAAAAUUGGGGCCAAACGGGGGCUUACUGUUAGUUGAUAGUUUCUUUUUAUUUUUUCAAUUGCAACUUUUGUUUAGGUGUGAAAAAGAUCCAAAAAAUUGCAAUCAAUCGGGCAACUCAAUUAUGUCGAUUUUAUAAUUUUUCCUUUUAACUUUAUAUUUUGUGCAGUUUAGGUUUGUUUAUUUGUUUUUAAAUCGCUUUUCUGGUAUUAUGAUUUUUUUUUAUUUGAGCUUCAAAUCUGCUGCAUAACCGAAGAAUGUCAAUUUUAUAGUUGUUUUAGUUUAGGUUUUUAAAUAAUUUCUUUAGCUAUCAAUUCUUCAUCAUUGCAGUUUCAUAUCCUGUGUAUUUUGAACAGAUUUUUUUUCUUUGUUCAAGUGUACAAUUUUCUAUUCUUAGUUGGUCGAUUCGAAAGUCGUAGUACUUUGUAGUUCAGUUGUAAAAUUCUUCAAGAAGCAGAAAAAUCAAACAUGGACAAAACAUUUGUGACUUAAGUUAUGUUGAUUUCAUAUUAUAAUUGAUGUAUAUUAUUUUCUUAUGUUGGUUUGACUUUCGUUUCUCUUUGUUCAAAUUAGGUUUGUUUUUGUCUCAUAAAUAAUUUUUUAAGUUGACAUUUGUUGAUCGGUUGAGCUUCAAAUGUUGUGUUUUUAAGUUAUUUCCGUCUACCUGUUUCAGUGUACAGAAUUUUUUAUUUUAGUUUGUAGAUUUCAUGUUUGUAGUAUUUUUGGGUUCAUCUUUUCUGAAAGUAUAUCUGUCAAAAAAGCACCGAUAUUCUUUGUAAAGUUUUAGAAUCGCUAUGUACAAGAACAAUCCGUGAUUAUAUAAGGAUGUGCCAUAGGCUACAAUACAAAUUUGUACAGUAUCCUAAGCGUUAUUGAUAGAAUAUAUAAAAGUCACUCUCACUCCUCUUAAAAGAGAGAAUGUGAUAUUCACUAUUUAUUUUUGUCACGCUGGUUUUCACAUCGAAUUGGUUUGGAACUGGGCUUUAUACACAGGGAAAGCUGCUGUAACUUUGGAAAUGUUCCUUUCUUUGCUAAUGGGAUUCCAUCACACCCCAAGAGCACACUUCCAUUUCUUUGACCAUUCCAAUUCAUGUAUAUUUUGCAAGUCUUUUGGAGUUUUUAUUUACUUCUUGUAUAAAUGAAUAGUACAAUUAGGCUCGAAGUAGUCUAUGUCUCAACGACUGAUAGGGAUAGUUUGUAUAAUUUAAUUAGAGAUACAGGGAAGUUCAAAAUUAGGGGAAGAGAGUACUGAUUAUGGAUCAGCGGUGAAAAUGCACUUUGAAGUAGAGGUCAGGGCAACAGAUUGGAGCUUAAGUCUCCUGUUGGUAUUUCUUCUUCGGAUCAUCAUCAGGUGAUUGAUCAUAUGCAUAUAUGAGUAUUGAACAGAUGAUCAUUCAAAAUUUUAUGUGCUCUUGUAAUUAGUUUGCAAAAUAUACUUCAUCAUGACCUUUAAUAUUUUUUAUAUCCAUAAUUGAUGUAUUACCUUCACUAGACUCAGUUAAAUGCAUGAAAGUGCAAGCAAUAUCAUCAGCUGGCUUGAAAAAGUAAUAAGGUAUGUACUAUACAUUCACAUUUGUGCAAUAUGCUUUAACUGAAGAUGCUUUUUUGGAAAUAUGUUUUCGAAACUUACGAAUUAUCAUAUUAAGGAAGGCCUUUAUAUCGUGCCCCUACUAUUCUUUGAUAAUAUUUCAUAUUAAAAAUUACAAUGGAAUUGCUUGGCAGAUCUACUCAUAAUUCAAGUUGUAGAUUUACUUUUUCUAUUUUCCUCUUACGAGACAUGAUGGAUUAUGUUUAAAUCUUUUUAUGUUUUAAAUUGCUAUUCAGUAACCUUACAAUUAGUUGGAUAUUGCAGCUCAUUGACUGCAAAACUUGGAUAGAUUAUUCAUUUGAAAACCAGCCAUUUCACUGCACAAUUUCACUUGGACUUCCUGUUCUCCAAACUUACAUCUCCUGAAGUUUUCACCUUGCCAACAAACACAAAAGGUUGCUGAUAACCUUUUAUUAUUCUUAUUUUUCUAAAAUUUAUGAAACUGUAAACUUCAUACUUUCCACACAUAUAUCAUAUGAAUAAAAUGAACAGGAUAUAGAAAGAACUUGGUUUCACCAUAUGAACCGCCAAUUAUGGAACUUACCCACACUUCCACACUAUUUACACUUUCAUACUCCACACACCCAUGCAUUUCGUACAACAAUUACACAAUGAAGAAUUAGGAAAGAAGGAGAGCGUUCGAACCCCUUUGAAGAUUAGUAAAUGAAAGAAAUUCUUGUAUAUUUUGUACAGCAGAAAUGAAGUUGUGUUUCUAAACAAUAAAGCCUUUAAUCAAUUUGUAGCUCUGCAUUAGUUUACGAGUUCCGAAUUUCUAAACUCCCUUUAUUUGUUGGGAGUAAAAUCUUUCAAUGAUAUGUAUGGUCUGAUUUUUUCUCAUUUUGGCUAAUCAGUGAUAGAGAUGAAAACAAAUAUUGUCUUUGGGGAUGUGAUGACACCAUUAAUGUUUCUAAU